rnacentral:rRNA from 1 species
AGGACGAACGCUGGCGGCGUGCUUAACACAUGCAAGUCGAGCGGUGAUCCUCCUUCGGGGGGUGAUCAGCGGCGAACGGGUGAGUAACACGUGGGCAACCUGCCCCUCACACUGGGAUAACCUCGGGAAACCGGGGCUAAUACCGGAUACGACCUCGAGCGGCAUCUCUUGAGGUGGAAAGCUCCGACGGUGAGGGAUGGGCCCGCGGCCUAUCAGCUUGUUGGUGGGGUAAUGGCCUACCAAGGCGACGACGGGUA